CUACGGGCUGCACCAGUGAGGAAUAUUGCACAAUGGGGGAAACCCUGAUGCAGCAACGCCGCGUGGAGGAUGACGCAUUUCGGUGUGUAAACUCCUUUUAUCAGAGAAGAAAAUGACGGUAUCUGAUGAAUAAGCUCCGGCUAACUCCGUGCCAGCAGCCGCGGUAAUACGGAGGGAGCAAGCGUUAUUCGGAAUCACUGGGCGUAAAGGACGCGUAGGCGGGUUUUUAAGUCAGGUGUGAAAUCCUAUGGCUCAACCAUAGAACUGCACUUGAAACGGGGGACCUAGAGUAUGGAAGGGGCAGGUGGAAUUAGUGGUGUAGGGGUAAAAUCCGUAGAUAUCACUAGGAAUACCGAAAGCGAAGGCGACCUGCUGGGACAUUACUGACGCUGAGGCGUGAAAGCGUGGGGAGCAAACAGGAUUAGAUACCCCCGUAGUC
rnacentral:rRNA from 1 species